rnacentral:rRNA from 1 species
CUGACCCCAUGCCGAACUCAGUAGUGAAACGAAACAGCGCCGAUGAUAGUGUAGCAUUUGCUAUGUGAAAGUAGGACAUUGCCAGGAUU